UGAUGCCCUUAGAUGUUCUGGGCCGCACGCGCGCUACACUGAAGUGAUCAGCGUGCAUAGGUAACCCGCUCUGACAAGAGUGGGUAACCCAAUGAACCUUCUUCGUGAUAGGGAUUGGGCAUUGUAAUUAUUGCCCAUGAACGAGGA
rnacentral:rRNA from 1 species